rfam:Echinostoma caproni strain Egypt genome assembly, scaffold: ECPE_scaffold0015778
UACAAGGCCUUUUUGAAGGCCACCACUGUUGAGCAGCUGAUGAUAG